UAACAUGAGAGUUUGAUACUGGCUCAGAACGAACGCUGGCGGCAGGCUUAACACAUGCAAGUUGAACGGGAUUUGUAUGGUGCUUGCACCACAUAAUGAGAGUAGCGCACUGGUGAGUAACACGUGGGAACAUACCUUGAAGUGGGGGACAACAGUUGGAAACGACUGCUAAUACCGCAUAAUCCCUGAGGGGGAAAGAUUUAUUGCUUUAAGAUUGGCCCGCGGAAGAUUAGGUAGUUGGUGGGGUAAAGGCCUACCAAGCCGAC
rnacentral:rRNA from 1 species